AAGUCGUAACAAGGUCUCCGUUGGUGAACCAGCGGAGGGAUCAUUACAGAGUUGCAAAACUCCUAACCAUUGUGAACCUACCUCACCGUUGCUUCGGCGGGUGGCCCGGGGCAACCCAGGCCGCGCCGGCCCCUCCUUCAGGGGCCGGCAAACCCGUCAGAGGACCGAAACUCUUCGUCAUCAGUGGCCUCUCUGAGUAACUUAUACAAUAAGUCAAAACUUUCAACAACGGAUCUCUUGGUUCUG
rnacentral:misc_RNA from 1 species